AACGAACGCUGGCGGCAGGCCUAACACAUGCAAGUCGAGCGAGACCUUCGGGUCUAGCGGCGGACGGGUGAGUAACGCGUGGGAACGUGCCCUUUUCUGCGGAAUAGCCUCGGGAAACUGAGCGUAAUACCGCAUACGCCCUUUGGGGGAAAGAUUUAUCGGAAAAGGAUCGGCCCGCGUUGGAUUAGGUAGUUGGUGGGUAAUGGCCUACCAAGCCUACGAUCCAUAGCUGGUUUGAGAGGAUGAUCAGCCACACUGGGACUGAGACACGGCCCAGACUCCUACGGGAGGCAGCAGUGGGGAAUCUUAGACAAUGGGGGCAACCCUGAUCUAGCCAUGCCGCGUGAGUGAUGAAGGCCUUAGGGUUGUAAAGCUCUUUCAGCUGGGAAGAUAAUGACGGUACCAGCAGAAGAAGCCCCGGCUAACUCCGUG
rnacentral:rRNA from 1 species